UGGGUUGUCCAUCACUGACCAUUUUUAAAUCCUGAUUGAAUGCUUUUCUAAAAGAUCUGCUCUAGGAAUUGUUUUGUGGAAAUUCUGUGGCCUGUAUUAUAUAAGAGGUCAGCCUACAUGAUGACAGUGGUCCCUUCUGGUCUUGGAAUCAAUCUCAAAAAGGCUAUUUCAGAAUUAGGGGGUGGUCAGAGAAGGGAGAUGAAAACGAUUAGUUGCUUCAAAAAACGCUUGUAUGAGGAGAUUGAAAGGAUUGGGAUUUACCUUGGAAAAGACUAGAUAAAAGGAGGCAUGAGAGAAGUAUAUAAAAAGAAUGGUAUUAGACGGUAGAUCAGGAGCUUCUGCUUUAUUUCAUAGAAACAAAGACUUUCAGUGAAAUUAAAAUGUGGUAAAUUCGAAAACCUACAAAAGGAAAUACUCUUCACACAAUGUAUAAUUAGACUGUGGAACUCAUUGCCACAGGAUGCCAUUGACCAAAAAAAGUAGCAAGAUUCGAAAAGGGAUUAGAUAUUAAUGGACAAGAAUAUCUGAAGUUUUAAUGGAUAAUGCGAUCAAAUUUUGUAAGAGAUGUUAACCUUCAUGCUUCAGAAUUUGAACCAAUCUUGAACUACUAGCUAUUAGGAGGGGUUUUUUUGCAUCUUCCUCUGAAGCAUCUAGCGUUGGCUCCUGUCUGAGCCACAAUGUUACACUUAAUGCAUGAUGGGUCUGGUCUGGUAUGACAAUUCCUUUGUAAUUACGAACACAUCCUGGUAUAUCGAAUAAGGGAGGAGGAUUUCAGCCUGUCCUUAAAAUUGACAUAAAAGUGGCAACUAACUGACGGUCUUGUUGUCAGUUGUAAGAUUUUCAUAACAGGGGGCCGGGGUGGGGAGUGGAAGCCAAUUGAACAGUGCAUGUCAGUUAUAUUUAACUCACUAAAGCCUACAUACAUAUCGUUAUACUACUUUUUGCACAGUAAAGCUAUAGCUGUGGAACAAUUCACUUGAGGCAAAAUGCAAACAGAUUAAUUGUAGAUUUAUUUAUUUUUCUACAGGAUCUGCCAUUGACGCACAUUUCUGCAGUCCAUUGAAGGUUAACCAACCAGUCCAGGUUUUGGAGUUGGCUACUUGAUAUAGGUAGGACUAUGGUUGUGAGGCAGCACCCUUUGCUAGAUGUGGAUCCCACCAGGAUGAUCUGUGCUUUCUUCAGUCAACUUCAGGCUGGGCAUGCACACUUUCUAGAAAGAGGUGAGGGUCACGGAAGCUUCGCUUGGGUGUCGUGGCAGCCUGUAGUUUAAAGCAAUACAGAUGAGCACAUCAAACUAAUUCUUCCUGUUCUACGCUGUUUCCCUGUCAUAUUGGAUCCACUUCAACCUUAUGACAUUUCAUCUAGACCUUGGACUGCAGGCAUGACAGUUGGUCUGCCUCUCUUCCAGAGACUUGCCUCAACAGCUUCAGUCAGUAGCAAUGCUCAAGCUAACAGCCAGCAGUGCAACUUUGGGGGCACACCUCUAUCGCCAAAGGCCAUAUCCAUUGAACUUUCUUCCUCAGGACAUCAGGAUGAGCCAGACUUGCAAGACAGGGGUUUUCACAGAUAUUCCCCCAACCACCACCAAAUGAACUCUUCCCAUGGGGUAGCAACCCUGCAGAAGCAGCUAAAUCAGUGGUGGAAUGGGAAUAGGAUCUUUUCAGAUUGUUUAAAUUGUGCGUAUGGUGAUUAAAACCAUGGAGUUGCCUGUAUUAAGUGUAUAAGUUAGGUAGCUAGUUUUUUAACUAGUGCAUUUUUUUAAAACCAGGUACUGUAUUUAUGAUCAUUCAGUGUGUUUAAAAGACAGAUCCCCUCUUUUCUUUUCAAUAUUUGUCUUGCCUUGUUCAUGUAAAAUUAUGACACAAUUGGGUCUAUUGUACUUGAUAACCUUUUUUGGUAAUUAUAAUUUGGUAUUCUGUGCAUCUCACACUGAUAACCUUAAAGCGCUUCUACUCCAUGUGAUUUAUUUAAAUGUUAAUAAAUUAUACAUUUCUGGCA